GGGUUGUGAGGUUAAGCGACUAAGCGUACACGGUGGAUGCCCUGGCAGUCAGAGGCGAUGAAGGACGUGCUAAUCUGCGAAAAGCGUCGGUAAGGUGAUAUGAACCGUUACAGCCGGCGAUGUCCGAAUGGGGAAACCCAGUGCAAUUCGUUGCACUAUCGUUAACUGAAUACAUAGGUUAACGAGGCGAACCGGGGGAACUGAAACAUCUAAGUACCCCGAGGAAAAGAAAUCAACCGAGAUUCCCCCAGUAGCGGCGAGCGAACGGGGAGCAGCCCAGAGUCUGAAUCAGCUUGUGUGUUAGUGGAACGGUCUGGAAAGUCCGACGGUACAGGGUGAUAGUCCCGUACACCAAAAUGCACAGGCUGUGAACUCGAAGAGUAGGGCGGGACACGUGGUAUCCUGUCUGAAUAUGGGGGGACCAUCCUCCAAGGCUAAAUACUCCUGACUGACCGAUAGUGAACCAGUACCGUGAGGGAAAGGCGAAAAGAACCCCGGCGAGGGGAGUGAAAAAGAACCUGAAACCGUGUACGUACAAGCAGUGGGAGCACCUUCGGGUGUGACUGCGUACCUUUUGUAUAAUGGGUCAGCGACUUAUAUUCUGUAGCAAGGUUAACCGUAUAGGGGAGCCGCAGGGAAACCGAGUCUUAACUGGGCGUUAAGUUGCAGGGUAUAGACCCGAAACCCGGUGAUCUAGCCAUGGGCAGGUUGAAGGUUGGGUAACACUAACUGGAGGACCGAACCGACUAAUGUUGAAAAAUUAGCGGAUGACUUGUGGCUGGGGGUGAAAGGCCAAUCAAACCGGGAGAUAGCUGGUUCUCCCCGAAAGCUAUUUAGGUAGCGCCUCGUGAAUUCAUCUUCGGGGGUAGAGCACUGUUUCGGCUAGGGGGUCAUCCCGACUUACCAACCCGAUGCAAACUACGAAUACCGAAGAAUGUUAUCACGGGAGACACACGGCGGGUGCUAACGUCCGUCGUGAAGAGGGAAACAACCCAGACCGCCAGCUAAGGUCCCAAAGUCAUGGUUAAGUGGGAAACGAUGUGGGAAGGCACAGACAGCCAGGAUGUUGGCUUAGAAGCAGCCAUCAUUUAAAGAAAGCGUAAUAGCUCACUGGUCGAGUCGGCCUGCGCGGAAGAUGUAACGGGGCUAAACCAUGCACCGAAGCUGCGGCAGCGACACUAUGUGUUGUUGGGUAGGGGAGCGUUCUGUAAGCCUGCGAAGGUGUGCUGUGAGGUUGCUGGAGGUAUCAGAAGUGCGAAUGCUGACAUAAGUAACGAUAAAGCGGGUGAAAAGCCCGCUCGCCGGAAGACCAAGGGUUCCUGUCCAACGUUAAUCGGGGCAGGGUGAGUCGACCCCUAAGGCGAGGCCGAAAGGCGUAGUCGAUGGGAAACAGGUUAAUAUUCCUGUACUUGGUGUUACUGCGAAGGGGGGACGGAGAAGGCUAUGUUAGCCGGGCGACGGUUGUCCCGGUUUAAGCAUGUAGGCUGGUUGUCCAGGCAAAUCCGGAUAAUCAAGGCUGAGGUGUGAUGACGAGGCACUACGGUGCUGAAGUAACAAAUGCCCUGCUUCCAGGAAAAGCCUCUAAGCAUCAGGUAACAUUAAAUCGUACCCCAAACCGACACAGGUGGUCAGGUAGAGAAUACCAAGGCGCUUGAGAGAACUCGGGUGAAGGAACUAGGCAAAAUGGUGCCGUAACUUCGGGAGAAGGCACGCUGGUGUGUAGGUGAAGUCCCUGCGGAUGGAGCUGAGACCAGUCGAAGAUACCAGCUGGCUGCAACUGUUUAUUAAAAACACAGCACUGUGCAAACACGAAAGUGGACGUAUACGGUGUGACGCCUGCCCGGUGCCGGAAGGUUAAUUGAUGGGGUUAUCCGUAAGGAGAAGCUCUUGAUCGAAGCCCCGGUAAACGGCGGCCGUAACUAUAACGGUCCUAAGGUAGCGAAAUUCCUUGUCGGGUAAGUUCCGACCUGCACGAAUGGCGUAAUGAUGGCCAGGCUGUCUCCACCCGAGACUCAGUGAAAUUGAACUCGCUGUGAAGAUGCAGUGUACCCGCGGCAAGACGGAAAGACCCCGUGAACCUUUACUAUAGCUUGACACUGAACAUUGAGCCUUGAUGUGUAGGAUAGGUGGGAGGCUUUGAAGCGUGGACGCCAGUCUGCGUGGAGCCAACCUUGAAAUACCACCCUUUAAUGUUUGAUGUUCUAACGUUGGCCCCUUACCGGGGUUGCGGACAGUGUCUGGUGGGUAGUUUGACUGGGGCGGUCUCCUCCCAAAGCGUAACGGAGGAGCACGAAGGUUAGCUAAUCCUGGUCGGACAUCAGGAGGUUAGUGCAAUGGCAUAAGCUAGCUUGACUGCGAGCGUGACGGCGCGAGCAGGUGCGAAAGCAGGUCAUAGUGAUCCGGUGGUUCUGAAUGGAAGGGCCAUCGCUCAACGGAUAAAAGGUACUCCGGGGAUAACAGGCUGAUACCGCCCAAGAGUUCAUAUCGACGGCGGUGUUUGGCACCUCGAUGUCGGCUCAUCACAUCCUGGGGCUGAAGUAGGUCCCAAGGGUAUGGCUGUUCGCCAUUUAAAGUGGUACGCGAGCUGGGUUUAGAACGUCGUGAGACAGUUCGGUCCCUAUCUGCCGUGGGCGCUGGAGAAUUGAGGGGGGCUGCUCCUAGUACGAGAGGACCGGAGUGGACGCAUCACUGGUGUUCGGGUUGUCAUGCCAAUGGCACUGCCCGGUAGCUAAAUGCGGAAGAGAUAAGUGCUGAAAGCAUCUAAGCACGAAACUUGCCCCGAGAUGAGUUCUCCCUGAGACUUUAAGUCUCCUGAAGGAACGUUGAAGACGACGACGUUGAUAGGCCGGGUGUGUAAGCGCAGCGAUGCGUUGAGCUAACCGGUACUAAUGAACCGUGAGGCUUAACCUUACAACGCCGAAG
rnacentral:rRNA from 1 species